rnacentral:rRNA from 1 species
CGUAGGGUGCGAGCGUUAAUCGGAAUUACUGGGCGUAAAGCGUGCGCAGGCGGUUAUAUAAGACAGAUGUGAAAUCCCCGGGCUCAACCUGGGAACUGCAUUUGUGACUGUAUAGCUAGAGUACGGCAGAGGGGGAUGGAAUUCCGCGUGUAGCAGUGAAAUGCGUAGAUAUGCGGAGGAACACCGAUGGCGAAGGCAAUCCCCUGGGCCUGUACUGACGCUCAUGCACGAAAGCGUGGGGAGCAAACAGGAUUAGAUACCCUGGUAGUCCACGCCCUAAACGAUGUCAACUGGUUGUAGGGUCUUCACUGGCUCAGUAACGAAGCUAACGCGUGAAGUUGACCGCCUGGGGAGUACGGCCGCAAGGUUG